CCUACGGGUGGCAGCAGUGAGGAAUAUUGCACAAUGGGGGCAACCCUGAUGCAGCGACGCCGCGUGAACGAUGAAGUCUCUCGGUAUGUAAAGCUCUAUCAGCAGGGGAGUAAAUGCCGGUACCUGACUAAGCAGCCCCGGCUAACUACGUGCCAGCAGCCGCGGUAAGACGGAGGGGGCAAGCGUUAUCCGGAUUUACUGGGUGUAAAGGGAGCGUAGACGGUCCUGCAAGCCAGAUGUGAAAGCCCGGGGCUCAACCCCGGGAGUGCAUAUGGAACUGUAAGGCUAGAGUGUCGGAGAGGCAGGCGGAAUUCCUAGUGUAGCGGUGAAAUGCGUAGAGAUUAGGAGGAACACCAGUGGCGAAGGCGUCCUGCUGGACGAUGACUGACGUUGAGGCUCGAAAGCGUGGGGAGCAAACAGGAUUAGAUACCCGGGUAGUC
rnacentral:rRNA from 1 species